rnacentral:sRNA from 1 species
CAAUAUUCACAUAAAUAUAUGUAUUUGUAUGCACAUGCACGUAUAUAUGGAAGUAUAUAUGCAUGAACACAUGCAAUUUUGUGUACACAUAUGUAUAUGUGUAUACAUAUACAUAUAUGUGUGUGCACACGCGCUCAUGUGUAUGC